rnacentral:rRNA from 1 species
UCCGGAGGAUGCAAGCGUUAUCCGGAAUGAUUGGGCGUAAAGCGUCCGCAGGUGGCAAUGUAAGUCUGCUGUUAAAGAGUCUAGCUCAACUAGAUAAAAGCAGUGGAAACUACAUAGCUAGAGUACGUUCGGGGCAGAGGGAAUUCCUGGUGUAGCGGUGAAAUGCGUAGAGAUCAGGAAGAACACCGGUGGCGAAGGCGCUCUGCUAGGCCGUAACUGACACUGAGGGACGAAAGCUAGGGGAGCGAAUGGG